GAUCCUGGCUCAGGAUGGACGCUAGCUACAGGCUUAACACAUGCAAGUCGAGGGGAAACGACAUCGAAAGCUUGCUUUUGAUGGGCGUCGACCGGCGCACGGGUGAGUAACGCGUAUCCAACCUGCCCAUCACUUGGGAAUAACCUUGCGAAAGUAAGACUAAUACCCAAUGAUAUCCCACGAAGGCAUCCGAAUGGGAUUAAAGAUUUAUCGGUGAUGGAUGGGGAUGCAU
rnacentral:rRNA from 1 species